GGUAUGACUCUUGGCAACGGAUAUCUUGGCUCUCGCAUCGAUGAAGAACAUAGCAAAAUGCGACAUGUGGUGUGAAUUACAGAAUCCCGCGAGCCAUCGAGUCUUUGAACGCAAGUUGUACUUGAGGCCAUCCGACCGAGGGCACGCCUACCUGGGCAUCACGC
rnacentral:rRNA from 1 species